UACGAAGGGGGCUAGCGUUGCUCGGAAUUACUGGGCGUAAAGGGCGCGUAGGCGGCACUGUUAGUCAGGCGUGAAAGUCCUGGGCUCAACCUGGGAACUGCGCUUGAUACGGCAGAGCUAGAGGAUGGAAGGAGCUCGCGGAAUUCCCAGUGUAGAGGUGAAAUUCGUAGAUAUUGGGAAGAACACCGGUGGCGAAGGCGGCGAGCUGGUCCAUUACUGACGCUGAGGCGCGACAGCGUGGGGAGCAAA
rnacentral:rRNA from 1 species